AUUGAACGCUGGCGGCAUGCUUUACACAUGCAAGUCGAACGGUAACAGGGUGCUUGCACCGCUGACGAGUGGCGAACGGGUGAGUAAUGCGUCGGAACGUGCCGAGUAGUGGGGGAUAACGCAGCGAAAGUUGUGCUAAUACCGCAUACGUACUGAGGUAGAAAGUGGGGGACCUUCGGGCCUCACGCUAUUCGAGCGGCCGACGUCUGAUUAGCUACGUAGGUGAGGUAAAGGCUCACCUAGGCGACGAUCAGUAGCGGGUCUGAGAGGAUGAGCCGCCAAACUGGGACUGGAACACGGCCCAGACUCCUACGGGAGGCAGAAGUAGGGAAUAUUGGACAAUGGGGGGAACCCUGAUCCAGCCAUGCCGCGUGUGUGAAGAAGGCCUUAUGGUUGUAAAGCACUUUAAGCGAGGAGGAGGCUACUGAGACUAAUACUCUUGGAUAGUGGACGUUACUCGCAGAAUAAGCACCGGCUAACUCUGUGCCAGCCGCCGCCGUAAUAC
rnacentral:rRNA from 1 species